rnacentral:rRNA from 1 species
GAAAUUGAACUCGCUGUGAAGAUGCAGUGUACCCGCGGCAAGACGGAAAGACCCCGUGAACCUUUACUAUAGCUUGACACUGAACAUUGAGCCUUGAUGUGUAGGAUAGGUGGGAGGCUUUGAAGUGUGGACGCCAGUCUGCAUGGAGCCGACCUUGAAAUACCACCCUUUAAUGUUUGAUGUUCUAACGUGGACCCGUGAUCCGGGUUGCGGACAGUGUCUGGUGGGUAGUUUGACUGGGGCGGUCUCCUCCUAAAGAGUAACGGAGGAGCACGAAGGUUGGCUAAUCCUGGUCGGACAUCAGGAGGUUAGUGCAAUGGCAUAAGCCAGCUUGACUGCGAGCGUGACGGCGCGAGCAGGUGCGAAAGCAGGUCAUAGUGAUCCGGUGGUUCUGAAUGGAAGGGCCAUCGCUCAACGGAUAAAAGGUACUCCGGGGAUAACAGGCUGAUACCGCCCAAGAGUUCAUAUCGACGGCGGUGUUUGGCACCUCGAUGUCGGCUCAUCACAUCCUGGGGCUGAAGUAGGUCCCAAGGGUAUGGCUGUUCGCCAUUUAAAGUGGUACGCGAGCUGGGUUUAGAACGUCGUGAGACAGUUCGGUCCCUAUC